UACGGGGGGUGCGAGCGUUGUCCGGAAUCACUGGGCGUAAAGGGCGCGUAGGUGGUCUGAUAAGGGUGUGGUGAAAGCCCGGGGCUCAACCCCGAGUCGGCCGUGCGAACUGCUGGGCUCGAGCACUGUAGAGGCAGGCGGAAUUCCGGGUGUAGCGGUGGAAUGCGUAGAGAUCCGGAAGAACACCGGUGGCGAAGGCGGCCUGCUGGGCAGUUGCUGACACUGAGGCGCGACAGCGUGGGGAGCAAACAGG
rnacentral:rRNA from 1 species